CAGUCCAGGAUUUGGGGAUUACCUGGGUGUGUCUCAAAUGUUUAGAAAAAGGGAAAAAAACACCUUAGACUCUAAGGUGUUUUUUUUUCUAAACACCUUAGACACACCCAGGUAAUCCCUAAACCCUGGACUG